AAAUUGAAGAGUUUGAUCAUGGCUCAGAUUGAACGCUGGCGGCAGGCCUAACACAUGCAAGUCGAACGGUAACAGGAAGCAGCUUGCUGUUUCGCUGACGAGUGGCGGACGGGUGAGUAAUGUCUGGGAAACUGCC
rnacentral:rRNA from 2 species